rnacentral:rRNA from 1 species
UACGUAGGGUGCAAGCGUUAAUCGGAAUUACUGGGCGUAAAGCGUGCGCAGGCGGUUUUGUAAGCCAGGUGUGAAAUCCCCGGGCUCAACCUGGGAAUGGCAUUUGGGACUGCAAGGCUGGAGUGCGGCAGAGGAGACUGGAAUUCCUGGUGUAGCAGUGAAAUGCGUAGAUAUCAGGAGGAAUACCGGUGGCGAAGGCGGCAUCCUGGACC